rnacentral:lncRNA from 1 species
CUUGUUUCCUGUCAUUUUUGAACAGAAAGAGUGAUGAGUUAUAAACUAUUUAGCCAUUAAGAUUAGGGGAGGAGAAUACUAUAUGGAGAUAUACAGAAAAGAAACAAACACUAUUCUGAUCCCCAAAUGAUCAAUGGAUCUAUUGUUCAAUAAAAUUUCCUCAUUCAGAUCUCUUUUGAAGAUGCUAGAUAUCCACUAUAGUGUAUUCCAAGCCAAGAAAAAGGAAUUAAAUUGGAUUAUGGGCGAAGUGGAACAGCACAGAUAUAAUGGGACUAAUCAGGAGACUGUACACAAAAAUGAACCAAAUAUUCAAAGAGAAAGAAAGAAAAAUCUUCUAUUAGUAUAGAUUAAUGAAAAAC